UCUUCUUGGCAAUUAGCUUAGCCCUCCAUGCUUUUGCAACAGUAAUACCCACAGAAUAUGUUUGCCUCAUAUCUUGGAUGAUGUCUCUUAUCCUGACUGUAUCAGAAGUUUGCAUCCUCUUUACCACAUUCUUUGGCCACCCACUUUGAGCUAGCAGACUUGUUGUUCAAAACCCUAGCACAUGUGUGCUUAUGUACAAGUGUUUUUAUAGCAAA
rnacentral:lncRNA from 1 species